rnacentral:misc_RNA from 1 species
CAACUCCAAUCUUCAUCAAUUCUGCAAAUACUUCUUGCUCUGAGUAAACACGGGGGCGUCCUCUUUCUGCAAUAAUGUUCCCCUCCCUAAUUGCAUCUGCAACAUCUUUAAUUGCUUCCCUUAUGUUUUUAAACUCUCUCUCAAACAUAUCAACUUUUGGAGCCAUCCGUUUUUUGCCUUUCAGUGAUGUUGCAGACUGUGAAUGUGCUUGAGAAUCUGCCUGAGAAUUUGCUUCAACAGGAG